rnacentral:rRNA from 1 species
GAUGAACGCUGGCGGCGUGCUUAAUACAUGCAAGUCGAACGGAGAGUUAGCAAUAGCUCUUAGUGGCGAACGGGUGAGUAACACGUUGGUGACCUGUCCCGGAGAUGGGGAUAACAGUUCGAAAGGACUGCUAAUACCCGAUGUGGUUAUCGAGGUUAGAGGCUUGAUAACUGAAGGAGAAAUCCGCUACGGGAGGGGCCUGCGUCCCAUCAGCUAGUUGGUAGGGUAAAAGCCUACCAAGGCGAAGACGGGUAGGGGAACUGAGAGGGUGAUCCCCCCACACUGGCACUGAAACACGGGCCAGACACCUACGGGUGGCAGCAGUAGGGAAUAUUGCACAAUGGGCGAAAGCCUGAUGCAGCAACGCCGCGUGCGCGAUGAAGGCCUUCGGGUCGUAAAGCGCUUUUUGGGGAGAUGAGGAAGGACAGUAUCUCCAGAAUAAGGAUCGGCUAACUCCGUG